rnacentral:tRNA from 2 species
AAUGGUCGGGAUAGCUCAG